rnacentral:lncRNA from 1 species
CUUUGAUUUGAUCUGCCUUUUUGUUUCCUUUUCAUCUCUGAACAAAGGGGAUGAGUUCUCUUUUAUCUGCCUUUGAGCAAGCCUCUACCAAACUAGAAGUUCCCUGCAAGCAGAACCCAUGUCUGCUUCCACAGAACUUAACUCUGUGACUUCCUAUUAAUGGGGUGAAUUUUUACUUUGUGUUUAUAAGUGCAAUUUUUUUUUACCUAUACAUUUUAUCCUUGAUGUUACAUAUGUGUAUUGACAGGGAGCAGCUUCUGUUUGUUACAGUAAACUAUAGAGGCAAGAACCUUCAGAAAUAGCCCUUUAUACAAGGCAUUUAUACUGAGGACCAGUCUUUAAAAAUAAUUUAGCCCAGGAGUUUGGCAGUAAUUUUAAAACUCUUUGAGGAGGGCCAUAGCU